rnacentral:rRNA from 1 species
GUGCCAGCAGCCGCGGUAAUACGUAGGUGGCAAGCGUUGUCCGGAUUUAUUGGGUUUAAAGGGUGCGUAGGCGGCUUAUUAAGUCAGUGCUGAAAUAUCUCGGCUUAACCGAGAGGGUGGCAUUGAUACUGAUGAGCUUGAGUACAGAUGAGGUAGGCGGAAUUGACGGUGUAGCGGUGAAAUGCAUAGAUAUCGUCAAGAACACCUAUAGCGAAGGCAGCUUACUAAGUUGUAACUGACGCUGAGGCACGAAAGUGUGGGGAUCAAACAGGAUUAGAAACCCUGGUAGUCC